AGUUGUAAUCUCUAGAAAUGUUUUCCGCGUUGGACCGCACACAAGUCUGUUGGAAUACAGCGGCAUAGUGGUGAGACCCCCGUAUAUGGUGCGGACGCCCAGCGCUUUGUGAUACAUUUUCGAAGAGUCGAGUUGUUUGGGAAUGCAGCUCAAAUUGGGUGGUAAAUUCCAUCUAAAGCUAAAUAUUGGCGAGAGACCGAUAGCGAACAAGUACCGUGAGGGAAAGAUGAAAAGCACUUUGGAAAGAGAGUUAACAGUACGUGAAAUUGUUGGAAGGGAAACGCUUGAAGUCAGACUUGCUUGCCGAGCAAUCGGUUUGCAGGCCAGCAUCAGUUUUCCGGGAUGGAUAAUGGUAGAGAGAAGGUAGCAGUUUCGGCUGUGUUAUAGCUCUCUGCUGGAUACAUCUUGGGGGACUGAGGAACGCAGUGUGCCUUUGGCGGGGGUUUCGACCUCUUCACACUUAGGAUGCUGGUGGAAUGGCUUUAAACGAC
rnacentral:rRNA from 1 species